UUAACUAUUAAAUGACACAGUCGUGUCAUUUGGUGCUGUGAAAGUUUAAUUGUUAUUAGGAUUAGUUUGUAUUAGUUAGUUGUGAUUAGUGGUGUUAUGGUGGGCCUACUAGUGUAUAGGUUAGAAAUAGGUUAGUUCAAUCACAUCAUAUACAUGUAUAUAGGUUAUAUUCUGGCAGAACUGGGUGUUAAGGGAAAGAAAGGAAAGAACAAAAAAUGAGCGACGGCCAAAAAAAAAAGCCGAGAGAAAGAGGGAGAAAAGAGAGGAAAGAAACAGAGGAAAGAGGGAGAAAGAAAAUGGAGAUUUAUGAGACCGGAGCAGUAAGGGUAGUUAGCGGUGACUCGAAAGUCGCCUGCAUCAAGGAAAAUCGGUGAUUAAUGGUGUACCGUUUCGACCCAAAGACUCUAAACGGCAAGUCUUCUUCUACUAUAGGGUGUAAUUACAGAAAAGAAAGUCUUUAAUUACAUGUUUCAAUCAGGUCUUUAUUGGGUGAAAUUAAUGUAUAUAUUCUUGAUAUAUAUAAAUAGAUGCUAUGUUGAAAUCUAUUUCCUAAAGGGUUUUAUUUUGGAAAGUCAGUGAUGGGUUAAGGUGGUUUAAUAUUUGUAUAUCUUUAGGGUUAAGUGCAAAAAACCUCCCUUUACUGUCGGUAUUGUGCAUAUCGAUUCCUGUGUGGUAAAAAAAAAACUCAUAUACUAUUAAUUCAGUGCAAAUAAGUCCUUGUGUGGUGUAAAAUAAUGAUAAUAUCCUCACUUCAGCUGAAUAAAUUAAUAACUAUAAAUAUAGGCCAUGUAAAACGACCUUUUUACCAACUUAUCAAAAAAAUAAAAUAAAAAAAAAAAAAAAAUUGAGCUGUAGCCAAAUAGAGGUACUUGGGUGUAGUGUAUAUAUAUAUAAGAUAUAUUAUAUAUAUGUCUCUGCGAAGGGGAAAGUACUGCAGCCACGGGGACGGCGAUGAGGAUCGACCGCAACGGAGGAACGGCGAUGAGCACGACUGGUUCGGAUGGUGAUGGAAAUGGAGGCUUCCCUCUUCGAAGCCUUCGAGAGACCCCACGAUGACCGGUCUUUGAAAUGGGGAACAAGAAUUUCGAUGGCGGUAAAUUAAGAGGACGACGAUUCGCGAUGAAGAAGCGGUUGUUGCAAACGAGCAAAGCAGUGCUCGGUGAGGAGGAUCCCACGGUGAGCACUGAUUUCUGGCCCUUGUGAUGUUGAUGAAGAAGGUGGUCUCUGUAUUGCCGCCGUUGACAAAGAUGGUGCUGUGUCCGGUGAAGUUGUGUUGUCCGGCGUCGGUGAAGGUGAAGGGACCGUAGGUGGCGAGACGGUGGCAACAAGAUGAAUUGAUACGGCGGCGAGAUCAGCGGUGGAACCGCGAGAAAGGGGUCAUCGACAGUUCCAGAUGUAAAGUUAGUUCGUGCAGAACAGAGGUCAGUCUUUAUCACUCUUCUGGUGUCAUCGGCGUAGGUCCUCCACUAUGUUUUUCAUCAUUAUUUAUUACUUUUGAGUUAGACACUUAUUUAUUUCAUCUAUUGGUUUGGGAUUUUUAUUAGGGGUCCACAUUGUAUGGAUUCCCAAGUUGUACUUUGGAGGUUAUUCUUAUAAAGAAAAUUUAUUGGAGAUUACGUUAUCAGAAGAUUCAUUAUUUAAUUAUUAUUUUAGAUUUCUC